GUGAAUCAUCAAAUUUUUGAACGCAAAUUGCACUCUCCUCGGAGAGUAUGCCUGUUUGAGGGUCAGCCUAUAAAAAUCGACAUCGUUGCUGUUUCGCGGUGACGUUCGUCGGAAAUUGGGUCAUCUUAAAUCCUUUUGGUUUUAAGCAAUUUAAAAUUUUUUUUUUGUUUCAAUGUACGUGUUUCUAGGAUUUAUUUUUUUACACGUUUAAGGAAUCAUUUUUUAUUAAACUUAACCUUAUUUUUGGA
rnacentral:misc_RNA from 1 species